rnacentral:rRNA from 1 species
CGUCUGAUUAGGUAGUUCGGCGGGGUAACGGCCCACCGAGCCUGUCGAUCAGUAGGGGUUCUGAGAGGAAGGUCCCCACAUUGGUACUGAGACACGGACCAAACUCCUACGGGAGGCAGCAGUGAGGAAUAUUGGUCAAUGGGCGAGAGCCUGAACCAGCCAAGUAGCGUGCAGGAUGACGGCCCUAUGGGUUGUAAACUGCUUUAUGCGGGGAUAAAGUGAGGGACGUGUCCCUUUUGUAGGUACCGCAUGAAUAAGGACCGGCUAAUUCCGUGCC